UGGGGAAUAUUGGACAAUGGGCGCAAGCCUGAUCCAGCCAUGCCGCGUGAGUGAUGAAGGCCUUCGGGUUGUAAAGCUCUUUCAGAUGGGACGAUGAUGACGGUACCAUCAGAAGAAGCCCCGGCUAACUUCGUGCCAGCAGCCGCGGUAAUACGAAGGGGGCUAGCGUUGUUCGGAAUUACUGGGCGUAAAGCGCGCGUAGGCGGCUUUGUCAGUCAGGGGUGAAAUCCCGGGGCUUAACCUCGGAACUGCCCUUGAUACUGCAAGGCUUGAGUCUGUGAGAGGAUGGUGGAAUACCCAGUGUAGAGGUGAAAUUCGUAGAUAUUGGGUGGAACACCAGUGGCGAAGGCGGCCAUCUGGCACAGUACUGACGCUGAGGUGCGAAAGCGUGGGGAGCAAA
rnacentral:rRNA from 1 species